rnacentral:rRNA from 1 species
UACGUAGGCAGCGAGCGUUGUUCGGAGUUACUGGGCGUAAAGCGUGCGCAGGCGGUCUGUUAAGACAGAUGUGAAAUCCCCGGGCUUAACCUGGGAACUGCAUUUGUGACUGGCAGGCUAGAGUAUGGCAGAGGGGGGUAGAAUUCCACGUGUAGCAGUGAAAUGCGUAGAGAUGUGGAGGAAUACCGAUGGCGAAGGCAGCCCCCUGGGCCAAUACUGACGCUCAUGCACGAAAGCGUGGGGAGCAAACAGG